ensembl:lncRNA
AUGUCAAAGAUGAUACAUUCCAGACCUGCUGAUGACGGAUAUAAAGUAUCUGAUGUUGAGACGCCUGAAGAUCUGUAUGAGAAUAUGAAUCAUUCCAGACCUGAUGAUGGCCAAUACAAAGUAUCUGAUGAUGAGACGACUGAAGAGCUGUAUGAGAAUAUGAAUCAUUCCAGACCUGAUGAUGACAGAUGUAAAGUAUCUGAUGAUGAGAUGACUGAAGAUCUGUAUGAGAAUGUAAGUUAUCAUUAGCUAGUCCAUUGGUGUGGACGCUAAUCUGGUUAUUGUUAUAGAUCUCAUUAUAGUUAACAACCGUCGGUCAAUAUUUGAUUCUGUUUUCUCUCUAUUCUGUUUUUUCUUUAAUGGCAAAGAUUAAUCAUGCAAGACCUCAUGAUGAUAGUCUUAAAGGUAAUGACAUUGAGUCGACUGAACCUGUUUGAGAAUAUAAUGGUAAGUGCUUUCACUCUUGAUAUCAAAUGUCUACUGACAAAGUUUAUGGUGUACAGAAUGUAAUGCACUGUUUAAGAUCAAGUAAUCUUAUAAAGUUAUUUUAUACUGACAAGAGAUUUGAAGUGUGUUAUUAAUGUAGCAAUUUACUUUCUUUCAGCAUGGCAGGCCAUAGUAUUUGGGACACUUGGCAAAACAUUUUAUAGAUUUAAAUUUUUCUUUUCCUUGUUUUUUUUUUUCUUUUUCUCUCUGUCUCUCUGUGUGUGGAUCCCUUAACAAUUGACAGCAUUGCCUUGAUUUAAACAAAUUUAUUUAGCAGUUGACCCUUCGCAAAAAGCUUGAUUAACAGAACCAAUCAUAAUGCCAAAUCCAAUUUAAGACAGGAGGGUAGAUUUACUUUGGUGGGCUUGAAAAUUGUGUGUAUUGACAUCUUUCUGCAGUUGAAAAAAAUAGGUUAACAUUAAAGAGCCACAAAAUGGUAUUUAUUGUUUAAAUCACUUAAAAAUUUGAAAUUUGAAAGCUGAGCCUUUGUUUCAUAUCAGAAGUAAACUACUUUGUCUUGUCUGUCGGCAUGUUGUCAUUUCCCUCUUUGCUCUGCGAUGUAUUUUUCACUGCAUGAGAACAUGUGUAGUGUGAGAGCGGCAUGGCUUGUCAGACUUGGCAACAGUUACUAAAGAGGGCAGGUUUUUGCGAAGGGUCAUUUAGUUUUAUCCAGUGUGACUUACAAAUGAUGUGCCUUAAAGGUACUGUAACUUUAUUUGACUGUACUAAAGCAUAAAAAUACCAUAUGAAUUAUGAAAAUCUUAAUUUAUAACAAACAAAAAUAAUAUAAUCAUGUAAGAUCUCAUUGUAUGUAUAUCUUUAAACACAAUGCAUAUUGUAAAUUCUGCCUAAUAAGUGUAUUGCCUUUUUAUUAAAUUGUAUUUUCA